rnacentral:rRNA from 1 species
UAGGGAAUUUUGCGCAAUGGGGGAAACCCUGACGCAGCAACGCCGCGUGAACGAUUAAGCCCUUCGGGGUGUAAAGUUCUGUCAGUGGGGACGAAACUUGACGGUACCCACAGAGGAAGCACCGGCUAACUCCGUGCCAGCAGCCGCGGUAAUACGGAGGGUGCAAGCGUUGUCCGGAAUCAUUGGGCGUAAAGAGUUCGUAGGUGGCACGUUAAGUCUGGUGUUAAAUGCAGAAGCUCAACUUCUGUUCGGCACUGGAUACUGGCGAGCUUGAAUGCGGUAGAGGUAAAGGGAAUUCCUGGU